UUCUAGCCUUUCCAAUCGAUUCAGACCUACGAUGGUUUUAAACCCUAAUCACCCUAAUCUUUUUUUCUCUUCAUAUUUUUUUUCUCUGUUUCAAUUGCACCAUCGGUGUUUUUUUUGGUUAUUGUUUCAGUUCCCUUCUUCGAUCGUUUUGUUUAUUCAUUGCAGAUGUUAAUGUUAAUUCACAUGGGGGCUUUUAUAAAAAAGGGUUCACUUGGUAUGUACAAGAAAUAGCCAUGAAAAUCUAUCACAAAGCUCAAUUCAAAAAUAUUUUUGAUUCAAGAAUGAGCUUACAAUGGUAGUUAAACCCUGAAUUGUCAAUUCCUACUAGCAAAUGGGUACUAUUUAUCGCCAUGAAUGCUCAAGCAACUGUGUUAACUGAAACGGUGGUAGGAGACGUAGUACCAAUGUCAAUCCAACACCAUCUGUAUCGAGAGAUCAAGCUCUUUACAAUCGAUACUUACGUAUAAACAUACGCAGGAGGGAAAAAAUCCAGAAAAACAUCAUAUUAUGUCUACUGAACAAGGUAAUUUUAUGCUAGCUUUAUGUUUGCUGAGAGUUCAUGAUGCUAAAAAAAAUUUGUUGGCGCUGAGAGUAAAUAGACUAUCACUGCGUGAUUAUGGUGACUCAUGAGACCAUAAUAAUCACUGCGUGUUUUUUGCUUCUAACAAGUGUGAUUGUUUUCUUAUUUUACUUCUUUUAAGUCUGUAUUUCUCUAAACAUACACAUACUUCUAAGUUGUUAGAAGGAUCAGGACCUGAAUUGUUUUUUAUGAUAGCUUUCUGUUUGCUGAGAGAUCAUGAUGAAAAGAAGAAAAACAAUUGUUGGUGUUGAUAGUUGAUAGAGUGUAAUCACGUCCGUGAAAGGAUCGGGACCUUAUUUUUUUCCUCUUAUAAAUUGUUGGUACUGAGACUUAAUAGAGUAUAAUCACGGCCCUGGAAGGAUCAGAACCUGUUUGCUUUUUUCAUUAUGAUGAAUUUAAAAAAGUAUGUAUAAUCAGGUUGAUAAUUAUUAUUUUUUAAUUAUUAUAAACAGUAUUCUUGAGU